UAGUUCAGGUUCUGCCAAGAUACAACUGAUCCACGCGUCCAUUCAUUGGUUUUCCUUUACAAAAAUGUUUUGGUUUUUCAUGAAAGGCAGAACUGAGAAAUGAAGAAUCCACAAAGAAGAAAUGAAGCUGUGUCAAAACUGUAACAUGCCAUCCUUUCCAAAUAUCAAACGUGAAGUGAAAUCGGUAGGCUACAUGAUCUUUGAUUUAUGGCUUAAUUUCCCGGAAAGUCUCUGACGUAUUUAUCAGAAACAGUGAAGCCAGUUCAAGUCUACAAAAAUGGCAUUUACUAUAAAAACAAUGAAUAUUUGGAAAUGAUUUUCUGUUGCUGCUGCAAAAAAUCACUGAAGCAUCAGAGAGCACAUGCUGAUCCUGUGGCUCUGAAAUACUCUUUCCAUGAUGUCAUCAAGGCAUCCCACAAUGCACCUGUGAAGCUGCAGGUUCUGCAGAAGCGUUGUCUGGCUCCGGGAUGGUACGCCGCACGCCUCUCGCGCUGGCUCCAACACUACCACCACGAGCAGGUGUGUGUGUUUAACAGCAUACUCUAAUUCAGCAGACUCCUCCAUCCCUCACAGACUCUGGUUGUGGACGGCCAGACUCUGAAAACAGAUCCAGCUUCAGUCAUGGGGAAGAUCCAGACGUUUCUGGGUUUAGAGAAUCAAGUCGAUUAUCACAAGAUGCUAGCGUUUGACCCAAAGAAAGGCUUCUGGUGUCAGCUGCAAGGACAGAGAUACCCAGACACGGACAGACAAGUAACUCUUUUCACUCACUGAAUUUAAAAACAAGUAGAGGAAAUGUUCUAUUCAUCAGUCUCGGGUGUUUUUUGAGGAGCUACUACAGAGAUGCUAACAUCCAGCUCUCUAAACUGCUGUAUAAAAGGGGUGACCCUGGUUCUGCCCGGCUGGCUCAGAGAGGAUCUGCCUGACGUCAGGUAACAGAGGCUCUCGAUUGGUCAACACCACACACAUCUGGAGGCUCUGAGUCCACUGAUGGACCUACAGGAGGAACAAACCUCCUCUGACUGGAGCGUGUUCUUACAUAGAUGAGUUUGAACUAAAAGCUAAUUUAAAGAACUGGUUUAGUACUUUUAAAAUGUGCUGCUGAUACUAAUUUGGUAAUUCUUUAAAGUCCAGUAUUUAUGACUUUUGUCUGUCCUGUUAUUGACACUGGAUCAGACUCAAACAGACUGUGCUGAAAUAAUAUAAAGAUCCUCAAAUAUAUUGCUGCUGAAACAGAGAUGCUGGACAUUGUACCUUUCUUACUCAAAUUUGAUGCAGACUCUAUUUGAUUUUAUGAAGUCAAAAAUCAAGCCAACGACCUGUGACAUCUGAUACAGACUUUUGUACUUUUAGAUUUUACAUUUGUCACUAGUUCUCUGUUGUUGUUGUUUCUGUGUGUUCGUGGCAGUUUUACAUUUUCUAAUGUGGACGUUUACAGUCAGUUUACUCACCUUCAUGCCGCUUCAAACAGAGGACUUUCUUCUUCUGUGAAGCUUUGUUGAGCGCCAACAAUGACAGACAAGUACUAUCAAACAUUACUGCACUAUAUUCCAUCUUUUAGAAAUCAUGUAAGUGACAAACACAGCGAGCUGUCGUAAUGUUAUUCAAGUUCAUUGUGUGAAAUAUCAUCUUUUGUGUUUCACAGAAUAACUUUGAGGUUUGAACGACUUGAGUGUUAGCUAAUCAUUGUUUUUAGGUGAAUUAUCUAUUUAAAGUGGCAUCUCAUUAGCUAAGCAAUACAUAUAUUAGAGCAAAAUAAUACAUUUCUAGUGUGCUGUGACUCUUAUAAGUUUAAAGUGCCAUUUAAGUGUUAAUGUAAUUUUAAUGUAAUUUUAUUUGUUUUAUUUUCUCAUUGUCGUUGAAAAACAAAACUGGUGAUUUUUUUAAAGGUAAAUGUGUUAUUAAACCAUUAAACCAAUAGUUCACCCACAAUCUAAAAGGUAAUUUUGUUUGCCCUCAAUGUAAUUUGAAACUCAUGUAACUUAAGUAGAACACAAAAUGUCAUCAUGUUUAAUGUCAGAGAAAUCAAACAAACCACUGGCUCUCAUAACUGCAUUGUCUUUUACUGUUCCUGGCAUUUUUAUUUAGAUAUAUAUUUUUUUUUUCAUAAAGGUCACCUGUCAUUUGUGUUCACUGGAGCCGCUGUGAAUUUCUGUCAUGCAUGAAGGUGAAAUUUAUUAUACAUUAAGGAAUUGAAUAUUGGGCAGAUGAUAAAAAAAAUAAAAAAAAUCUCACUGGUGACCUUUGGAAAAUCGCUGUUUUAUUACUGCAGGGUUUCUAUGGUAGUGCCCAUAAACCACUGUAUUAACAGUUUCUAUGGAUUAUUGAUAUGGUAAUAUGAAUGUAUUUGUGCAGAUUGCAUGAUUCAGAAAUUAAUUCUCAUGUUGUCUUCUGUGAAAUUUGACCUGGUCAAACACAUGAAGAUUAGAGCAAAA